rnacentral:rRNA from 1 species
AUUGAACGCUGGCGGCAGGCCUAACACAUGCAAGUCGAGCGAGCGGCGGACGGGUGAGUAAUGUAUGGGGACUGCCCGAUAGAGGGGGAUAACUACUGGAAACGGUAGCUAAUACCGCAUACUAUCGGAUAACCCAUAUGGGAUUAGCUAGUAGGUGAGGUAAUGGCUCACCUAGGCGACGAUCCCUAGCUGGUCUGAGAGGAUGAUCAGCCACACUGGGACUGAGACACGGCCCAGACGCCUACGGAGGCAGCAUGGGGGAAUAUUGCACAAGGGUCGAGAGCCUUAUGCAGCCAUGCCGCGUGUAAUAAGAAGGCCCUAGGGUUGUAAAGUACUUUUAGUCGGGAAGGGUUACCGACAGAAGAAGCACCGGCUAACUCCGUACCAGCAGCGGCAGUAAUUC